UGCUUGAAUCAAUCAUCAUACUCUUUCGUACUUCUCCAUACUCUUCUUAGUGCAUAGCUCAAUUUCAAAUCUCCAACUAUUAGCAAAGACUCACAAUCAAGUUGAAACAUCUCUUUAACAUUCAUUUAAGUGUUUGGCGCGGUCUCGCAAAUGGAAGAUAAAUCAUUCUCAAUCGGUCUUGGUGAAGGCUUUUGGAGGUGGUUUCAAAAGAUUUACAUUUUGGUGGGUUUCUC
rnacentral:sRNA from 1 species